UACGUAGGGUCCGAGCGUUGUCCGGAAUUACUGGGCGUAAGGAGCUCGUAGGUGGUUUGUCGCGUUGUUCGUGAAAACUCACAGCUUAACUGUGGGCGUGCGGGCGAUACGGGCAGACUUGAGUACUGCAGGGGAGACUGGAAUUCCUGGUGUAGCGGUGGAAUGCGCAGAUAUCAGGAGGAACACCGGUGGCGAAGGCGGGUCUCUGGGCAGUAACUGACGCUGAGGAGCGAAAGCGUGGGGAGCGAACAGG
rnacentral:rRNA from 1 species